rnacentral:rRNA from 1 species
GACGAACGCUGGCGGCGUGCUUAACACAUGCAAGUCGAACGGUGAACUCCGCUUGCGGGGGGAUCAGUGGCGAACGGGUGAGUAACACGUGGGCAACCUGCCCUCCGCUCUGGGAUAACUCCAAUAACUUGGGGCUAAUACCGGAUAUGACCGCUGACCGCAUGGUCUGGUGGUGGUAAGAUUUAUCGGCUGGGGAUGGGCCCGCGGCCUAUCAGCUUGUUGGUGGGGUAGUGGCCUACCAAGGCGACGACGGGUAGCCGGCCUGAGAGGGUGACCGGCCACACUGGGACUGAGACACGGCCCAGACUCCUACGGGAGGCAGCAGUGGGGAAUAUUGCGCAAUGGGCGAAAGCCUGACGCAGCGACGCCGCGUGGGGGAUGAAGGCCUUCGGGUUGUAAACCUCUUUCAGCAGGGACGAAGCGAAAGUGACGGUACCUGCAGAAGAAGCACCGGCCAACUACGUG